rnacentral:lncRNA from 1 species
AAUAAAUUAUUUUUACCCCUGAUACAACUGAUGCCACUUGUGAAGUGGAACGAAAGUUUCGUAGGGCAACAAUAAAUAGUAUGUUGGAAUUUUCAUACUCAUUUUGCUUACAUUUUGAAUACCACUUACAGAAUUGUUUAGCUAUUCACUUCGCACCCCUUCUAUAUCUUUAGAAUGUUAACAUUGUUUAUAGAGAAUUGUGAUAACACAAUCACAAAAGGGCUAAAAUUGAGACUCAGGAUGAUAAAUAUUGUGACGCAUACCGGAUAGUGCUGUUAUUUGAUAUCAUUAAGGAGUUACCUUUUGAUGUUGUGCCAUGAGUAACCCUUAUUAUGCAACAUCAAAAUGAUUAAAAUAUGCUCAGAAUGCACAAAUAUUUCCUAAAUAUCCAUGAAAUAACUCCACAAGCACCUGUUUAAAUUCUCAUAGAUGAUGUGAAAAUGUUUAGUUUAUUGUGUAUAGCCAAGGAGAUGAGCUAGUAGCUAUUUGAAUUGACGGUAGCUAUCACUGACUUUUUUCUCUUGAUUCAUCUGAACAGUUGUGAAUGGAAGGUAGCAGCACCUCCCGUUGCCAUGUACUGGGAGACUGGCAAGAGAGAAACUGCCAAGCCAGCGGAGAUAGUUUGACACGUAGGUGGUAGGUGUGAUGUUUCACAUGUAUCAUUUCUACUCCUUGAAAAAAGAAAUAAAUUUACUUACUGGUACACUAAGAUGGCAGAUGAAGAAAUUAGCCUAAGAAAUUUUUUUAUGUUCUAGACUGUUGCUCAAAUCUAACUUGACCCAGAGCGUUCUCAUACAUUUAUGCAGCUUUUUAGUAGUAUAGUUUCCUGACCUAACAUACUUUGGUCAGUUUAGAGAGAGACUGAAUGGUUCAGAGGAAACAAAACAAGGAUCGGUUGUCUUUUUUUUUUUUUUUCUUAUAGAUUUUUUUUAAUCCCGGAAGCAAAUAAACUAAGUUAGCAUGCAUUUGAUGUCAGACAGCUACUAGAUAGCUGAUGUACAUAUGCAUAUAUCUCAAGUAGGGGGAAGGGAAUGGAGUGAAGAUAGCUGUUCCCUGUCUGCAAUUCUGAACACUGGUCCAGGCCAGGAUGCUUGUGCAGUGUGCAAACUCACGGAUGUCAAUAUGUACAUACCAUCUCUGCACUAAUCAGUUAAUUUAAAUUUCUAAACGAUUCUGUUAACAUUUGCUUUGGUAUAGUAGAAAUUUGGGGCUUGAAAGU